CAUGUUUUCAUUCCACAAGGUUCUUUUCGAACAUAAACACGCAUCUGUAUGCGCAUCAAGAUGAGCGGCGACCACCAGUUUUUCCCUUCUCUGCACGACAAUUCUGCCAACACAUCUGAUAUUUGGUCUACUUUGAUUAGGCCUAUAAACACGCCUAAAUCUUCUGCGCCGCAGUUUGAACCUACACCCUGGCCAAAAACAAACAGGCUGGCAGAGGCCUUUUACCAACCCCUGGAUGCCUUCUGUCCGCCGGAGGGCCCUUGUUGGUUGAGGCCGAGCGACGAGGACGUCAUCAGCGAAUUGGGCAUCCGUCUGGCCGAGAUCGAAUUAUUAAAUAUAAUGGGAGAAAAAGUCGAUAACGGAAAGCACACUCUGGUGUCUGAAAUGGAUAUGCAUCAACGAAGAAUAGAAAUGAGAAGAUUACAUCGGCCACCACCACAACCUCCAACUUGAGUAUUGUACAUAAAAUGUAUAUUUCUA